rnacentral:rRNA from 1 species
UACGGAGGAUGCGAGCGUUAUCCGGAUUUAUUGGGUUUAAAGGGUGCGUAGGCUGUAAGGUAAGUCAGCGGUGAAAUGCCCCCGCUCAACGGGGUGAAGUGCCAUUGAUACUGCCUUGCUGGAAUGCGGAUGCCGUGGGAGGAAUGUGUGGUGUAGCGGUGAAAUGCGUAGAUAUACGGAAGAACACCAGUGGCGAAGGCGGCCGCCUGGCCUGUUACUGACGCUGAGGCACGAAAGCGUGGGGAGCAAAUAGG